rnacentral:rRNA from 1 species
GAUGAACGCUAGCGGCAGGCUUAAUACAUGCAAGUCAUGGGGCAGCAGCUCUGUAGCAAUACAGAGGCUGGCGACCGGCAAACGGGUGCGGAACACGUACGCAACUUACCCAUAACUGGUGAAUAGCCCUCCGAAAGGAGGAUUAAUACAUCGUAACAUAAUGAGAUGGCAUCAUUUUAUUAUUAUAGCUCCGGCGGUUAUGGAUGGGCGNGCGGCUGAUUAGGUAGUUGGCGGAGUAAUAGCCCACAAGCCAGCGAUCAGUAACUGGUGUGAGAGCACGACCAGUCACACGGGCACUGAGACACGGGCCCGACUCCUACGGGAGGCAGUAGUAAGGAAUAUUGGUCAAUGGACGCAAGUCUGAACCAGCCAUGCCGCGUGAAGGAUGAAGGUCCUCUGGAUUGUUAAACUUCUUUUAUA